rnacentral:pre_miRNA from 1 species
CCGACAAAGUGGUUGUGGAAUGUUCUAUAUCUGCAUAUCACAGCCAGCUUUGUUGACU